rnacentral:tRNA from 1 species
GCCCAGCUAGCCCAGUUGGUAGAACAUGAGACUCUUAAUCUUAGGGUCGUGGGUUCAAGCCCCACGUUGGGCA